rnacentral:tRNA from 1 species
AAGUCAGAAGUCAGAAGUUUGAAGUCAGAAGUUGGCGGAAGACUAAAUAAAAAUAACUUCGACUUUCAUUAAUCCCGAGGUCGUGGCAAGGGAAAUGUGUCAGCUUUCAAACUAGAGAUAGGUUUGGGAAGAGGGGCUAUUAGCUCAGCUGGUUAGAGCGCACCCCUGAUAAGGGUGAGGUCUCUGGUUCAAGUCCAGAAUAGCCCACCUGUUUAAUUCCAGGCGAGGAUAAUUUCAGCACCGAGUCUCAUCAAAAGAGACAGAAUGCUGGAUGUAAAUUCCAGUCAGUACCUUGAAAACUGCAGAAAAAAUAAGUCAAUCAAGUCCAAGAAAAAGACCAAAAAGGUCAAGCUACAAAGGGCUAACGGU